GUGAGUGUAAGCAGAGAGACUGCUCUAGCAGCGCCGACGGGGAAAGCAUGGACUAUGUGAAACUCUCAGGCAAAAGGAUGCUUAUAGGACG
rnacentral:ncRNA from 2 species